rnacentral:siRNA from 1 species
CCAUCACAGGCCAACAUCCUC